rnacentral:rRNA from 1 species
UACAGAGGUCUCAAGCGUUGUUCGGAUUCAUUGGGCGUAAAGGGUGCGUAGGUGGCGGGGUAAGUCAGGUGUGAAAUUUCGGAGCUUAACUCCGAAACUGCAUUUGAUACUGCCUUGCUUGAGGACUGGAGAGGAGACUGGAAUUCACGGUGUAGCGGUGAAAUGCGUAGAUAUCUGGAGGAACACCGGUGGCGAAGGACGGCGAUUCUGGACCAAUACUGGACGCUGAGGAGCGAAAGCCAGGGGAGCCAAACGGG